GGGCCACAUCACAUUGAAACACCAGCUCUUGUACGAUCACCGAAGUUAAGCAACGUCGAGCUUGGUCAGUACCUAGAUGAGUGGCCGUUUGGAAAUACCACGUGCUAUAA